UAUGUAAUAUUUUUUUUUAAAGAGGCUCUCUAAAAUUGCUUGAGCUUCAGACUACAAACCUUGGACUCAUAGCUGCACAGUGGCUGAACGUAUAGGAUCUGGAGCCAGACUGCACAGCUUCAAGUCUCAGAUGGAGGGGCCGUGUAGGAAUGAAUAUGAGUGGCAGCUGACAGCCAGCCAGCAACAAAGAUCUCAGUCCUACAACCUCAAGGAUUCUGCCAACACCCUGAAUGAAUUUGGAAGUGGAAUCUUCCCCAGAACCUUCGGAUAAGGGUCAGCUGCCUGACUUCAACUUUUGAGUACACAGAGCAGAACCCAGAGGUGCCUACGUGGAUUCUUCAUCUACAGAACUGUGAGAUAGGAAAGAGACAGGAAGGAUGACCGCCUAGCACCAGAUCUAUUAAGGAUACUUCUGCAUUUUCUAAAUUAAUCAUUGCCACAUCUGCUAGGAACAGAAGACCACAAGUUUUAACACCAUAUCUGUAAAGGUGGAAAACCUGGAAGCCAGAGAAGGGCACAGGGCAACCUCCCUGUGUCAGAUAAGGGCUGAUCCCAGCACGAGGGUACUUUCUUAUUAAGUCUGUGUUUCCUUGGGAGCCUGGGCCCCAUCAUCAGAGUGGGUGCCUGUGUAUCCAACCUGACCCACCUCACCCACAUCUGAGAGUCCAGCAUCAGCACUGUCGUUCUCCGUACUUGGAUCUGCCUCUUACCAGGAUGAUUAAUGACUGAAUGUCCUCUGAAACUCUUCCCACAGAGGUUACUAUACGAUAUUGAAUAUAGUUCCCUGUGCUAUCCAGUAGAAGCUUG